GAUGAACGCUGGCGGCGUGCCUAAUACAUGCAAGUCGAGCGAACAGAUGAGGAGCUUGCUCCUCUGACGUUAGCGGCGGACGGGUGAGUAACACGUGGAUAACCUACCUAUAAGACUGGGAUCACUUCGGGAAACCGGAGCUAAUACCGGAUAAUAUAUUGAACCGCAUGGUUCAUUAGUGAAAGACGGUUUUGCUGUCACUUAUAGAUGGAUCCGCGCUGCAUUAGCUAGUUGGUAAGGUAACGGCUUACCAAGGCUACGAUGCGUAGCCGACCGGAGAGGGUGAUCGGCCACACUGGAACUGAGACGCGGUCCAGACGACUGCGGGAGGCAGCAGUCGGGAAUCGGCCGCAAUGGGCGAAAGCCUGACGGAGCAAGGCCGCGUGUGUGAUGAAGGUCUUCGGAGCGUAAAGCCCUGUUACUAGGGAAGAACAAAUGUGUAAGUAGCUAAGCAGGUCGUGACGGUACCUAGUCAGAAAGCCACGGCUAACUACGUG
rnacentral:rRNA from 1 species